rnacentral:rRNA from 1 species
UACGAAGGGGGCUAGCGUUGCUCGGAAUCACUGGGCGUAAAGCGCACGUAGGCGGAUUGCUAAGUCAGGGGUGAAAUCCUGGAGCUCAACUCCAGAACUGCCCUUGAUACUGGCGGUCUCGAGUCCGGGAGAGGUGAGUGGAACUGCGAGUGUAGAGGUGAAAUGCGUAGAUAUCUGGAGGAACACCGGUGGCGAAGGCGGCAUCCUGGACCGACACUGACGCUGAGGAGCGAAAGCCAGGGGAGCAAACGGG